CGGACGGGUGAGUAAUGUAUGGGGAUCUGCCUGAUGACGGGGGAUAACUACUGGAAACGGUAGCUAAUACCGCAUAAUGUCUACGGACCAAAGCGGGGGACCUCCGGGCCUCGCGCCAUCAGAUGAACCCAUAUGGGAUUAGCUAGUAGGUAAGGUAACGGCUUACCUAGGCGACGAUCCCUAGCUGGUCUGAGAGGAUGAUCAGCCACACUGGGACUGAGACACGGCCCAG
rnacentral:rRNA from 1 species